rnacentral:rRNA from 1 species
UUAAGGGUUCGAAGACGAUCAGAUACCGUCGUAGUCUUAACUAUAAAUGAUACUGACCAGGGAUAGGAUACUGUCCAUCUCGACUCUUCCCGAACCUUAGAGAAAUCAGAGUCUUUGAGUUCUGGGGGGAGUAUGGUCGCAAGGCUGAAACUUAAAGGAAUUGACGGAAGGGCACACAAAGAGUGGAACCUGCGGCUUAAUUUGACUCAACACGGGAAAACUCACCAGGUCCAGAUACACGUAUGAAAGACAAGCUGAAAGACUUUUCUCAAUGAUGUAAGUGGUGGUGCAUGGUCGUUCUUAGUUCGUGGAGUGGUUUGUCUGGUCUAUUCCGAUAACGAGCGAG